GGAAGCUUCUUUGAUUAAACCGCGCCAAUCACAAAACAGAAUUAUUUAAUUAACACUAAUUGUGUUUUGUGAUUGGCGCGGUUUAAUCAAAGAAAC